rfam:Paracoccidioides brasiliensis strain Pb18 mitochondrion, complete genome.
UUCUUAUUAGCUCAAAGGUAGAGCAAAAUACUUCUAAUAUUAAGACCUUAGUUCGAAUCUAAGAUAAGAAU